CGUGUAGGCGGUUAGUUAAGUCGAAUGUGAAAGCCCUGGGCUUAACCCAGGAAGUGCAUUCGAUACUGGCUAACUAGAGUGCAGGAGAGGAUAGCGGAAUUCCCGGUGUAGAGGUGAAAUUCGUAGAUAUCGGGAGGAACACCAGUGGCGAAGGCGGCUAUCUGGACUGAUACUGACGCUGAGACGCGAAAGCGUGGGGAGCAAACAGGAUUAGAUACCCUGGUAGUCC
rnacentral:rRNA from 1 species